rnacentral:lncRNA from 1 species
UUAGGCAAAGAAAAACCUUGUGAGUGGGUGUUUAGUCUUGGCAGGGGGAAUGCAGGUUGCUGAAAUGAGGUGUAUAGGCAUAUGCAAGCACUGCAGAGACAGAGCACCCCUGAAGAUCUAUGUAGCACAUGUGGAUGAAAUGUUUUUUCCAGGUUUAAAUCAGGAGCUUAGUAGCUUAUGUAGGUUGAUGUAGGCCUCCCAUAUGUGGAACAGAGUGCUCUGAGACCAGCCAACAUCACACGCUAAGGCUCAGGAUGGUGAAGAGGUGCCUGACACAUGGCUGAAUUUAAAGUUGGUGUCCUAAUGAUUUGGAAUUAGUGUAUACAUAUGUUUAUUUUUCCCAGUAGGUGCCCAGUUGCUGAGGAUUUGAUGUCCUUUGCUUACCUUGGAGCCGUUCAGGAAACAGCCAGGCAUUUAUUUCUUCAAGAAGCAUCUGUACUUCCCAGGCUAGUACCUUCAACAAUGGCCUCCAGGACAGUCUGAGCAAGGCAGUGCUCUCUGACCCUCCUGCUGGGGCAGAGUCACCAUACACCAGGAAAUGCAAGACAUGCAGGAGAAUGAGCAAAAGAGGCUUUGGGACCUGAUCCCAGUCCAACCUCAUGUUGUGCCCAGUGGCUCUCAACGGGAAGCACAAGUGGUCUCUGGCUCUGAGCACAACGAGGUCCAAGUACACUCUUCUCCCUCAGGAUGAAUGCUGCAGCCCUCCCAGGCUUCUCCAAGACCUCUUUAUGCAGUAUGUGAGGUGGUGGUGUGUCAAAUGGUGCAACAUGGAUGCAGAAGGGCUAAGGCAGCCCUAAAGCAGGCAGCAGGCAUUCUUCUGGCACAGGGCUCCUGCAAUGGAUAAUCAGAAAUACUCAUGGGAAAAGUAGCUGGGGAAUCCAAUGGAUAUGUGACUCAUAGAAACAUCAAGGAUGAAUGGAAAGGAAAAUAACCUAGUUUCUCACACUGCUUUGUGACUUGUCACAGAAGAUGAAGUGGCAAAUCCUCAUAGAAAAGAUUUUCCAAUGUGUCAAAGGUGACAACAGGGACAACCAUCUCUGACCAUAUAAGCUGGUAAGAUGCAGUUCUUUCUGGAAAAUUCUCACCUUCAGGGUAAGGAGGUGAGUAGCCCAACACACAAGCCAGCUCCUGUGUACAAGCGACUGGGGAAAUCUUAAUCGAUAAGCAUAACCUAGAAGGAUAUAUUCCUGCCUCCUAUUUUUCUAUUGCAGUUUUAUUAUUGCAGAUCCAUAUUUUAAUCUGUGUAUGACAAAAUGAAAUGGUUCUUAUGUGUUAUUCCUAUUUUGUAUAGUAAUAAAAUGAUUUGCUAUCACUGGGUAGGCA